rnacentral:rRNA from 1 species
ACUCCUACGGGAGGCAGCAGUGGGGAAUAUUGGACAAUGGGGAAACCCUGAUCCAGCCAUGCCGCGUGUGUGAAGAAGGCCUUCGGGUUGUAAAGCACUUUCAGUGGGGAGGAAAGGUUGUUGGUUAAUACCUAGCAGCUGUGACGUUACCCACAGAAGAAGCACCGGCUAACUCCGUGCCAGCAGCCGCGGUAAUACGGAGGGUGCAAGCGUUAAUCGGAAUUACUGGGCGUAAAGCGUGCGCAGGCGGUCUGUUAAGCGAGAUGUGAAAGCCCCGGGCUCAACCUGGGAACUGCAUUUCGAACUGGCAGACUAGAGUCUUGUAGAGGGGGUAGAAUUCCAGUGUAGCGGUGAAAUGCGUAGAGAUCUGGAGGAAUACCGUGGCGAAGGCGGCCCCUGGACCAAAGACUGACGCUCAGGCACGAAAGCGU